AUGCUGAUAUUAAAGGUCGAACAGACCUAUAAGUCGAGCUGCUACACCCGACCAUUAUCUUAAUCCAACAUCGAGGUCGCAAGCCCCCCUGUAAAUUCGAACUUUGGAGGGGGAUUACGCUGUUAUCCCUAAGGUAACUUAGUCUAAUAAUCAAUAAUAAUGGAUCUAAAAAUCAUAAAUUAAUGUAAAAUAAAUAAUGAAAGUUAAAUUUAUAUUCUUUGUCGCCCCAACAAAAAAGCUUAAUUAGCAGCUUAAAAAAUUAAACAGUGACAACCAAUAAAACAAGCCUUAAAGCUCUAUAGGGUCUUCUCGUCCUUCAAAAAAAUCUAGGCCUUUUGACCCAAAAGCUAAGUUCAACAUUAUUAAAUUGAGACAGAUAGUACUUCGUCAAGCCCUUCAUUCCAGCCUUCUAUUAAAAGACUAAUGAUUAUGCUACCUUUGCACGGUCAAAAUACCGCGGCCGUUAAAAUAAAUUCACCGGGCAGGCAUGACCUCACAUAAAACACAAGAGGACAUGUUUUUG
rnacentral:rRNA from 1 species